GCCCGUGUGGCUCAGUUGGUUGGGCGUUGGCCCGUGCACCAAAGGCUGCUGGUUCAAUUCCCUGUCAAGGGCA
rnacentral:tRNA from 1 species